AACGCACAUUGCGCCCAUUAGUAUUCUAUUGGGCAUGCCUGUUCGAGCGUCAUUUCAACCCUUAAGCUCAGCUUAGUGUUGGGAAUCUACCGUGAGCGGUGUUACCCGGUACCUACCCUAUAAUGGGGCCAGGUUACCCUGUAGCUACCCUGUAGUUCCUCAAAUCCAACGGCGGAGUCAUAGUCAUCUCUGAGCGCAGUAAUUUUUAUCACGCUUUUGAAGAUGCUAUAACCUUAGCCGCUAAACCCCCAAUUUUUUAAUGGUUGACCUCGGAUCAGGUAGGAAUACCCGCUGAACUUAA
rnacentral:misc_RNA from 2 species